GAAUUUUUUUCUGGCUAAGUUUGUAUAUUUAUCUUAGUAAAUAACUGAAGUUGGAAAAAUACACCUUGAUUUUACUGAAGAUCUGUACACUUACAGUUAGUCUUUAAUACCAAUGGUUCUUCAGUAGUUCAGGUUUAAAGAAUAAGGGUAAGUGAACCAUAUGUAAAAGCUUUUCUCUGCUACCGUUCUUCUCAGCAUUUUCUGUUGCCAUACAGGUUUUACUAUCUUUUAAGCUGACUCUCUUCUGCAGUUUGUAUUGGUAAAUAGCAAAGAUUGGAGGAGACACCAAGCAAAGGAGACAGGUUCUGGAUUUAGAUCUGAAGACUUUUUCUCUUGCACUUGAAGUCUGUUCUUUAAGUAGCGAACUAUAUAUUGAUUAGGAGAAUUUCCAUUUUUUGCAGUAUGCAAAUAUUGCUAGCAUUUUAGAAAUACUGAUGGAAGUGUCAUAAGAGUCUACAGAAGAUGGAAAGUGUGAGGUAUUUUGGAAAGGAAAAAAUGUUAAAUGAUUAAGUUCAUUCACCUAGAUGAAUAAAAAGCCACAUAAGAUUUGGAAAGGACUUGUGUAGGACAGAACACUAGAGAAUGGAGAAAUUUUAUAGAAUGAAAAAUAGGCCUGAUUCUAAAUAUUUAAAACUUCACUGGUCCUGAAAUUUAAGGUCCGAUAGCAAUUACUGUAUGCUGUGUUCAGUGGUAAAUGUGGUAGAAUGAUUCUUCCAGCUGUGUGAAUUGUUGCAAUUGUCCUACCCAUUUACAGACUGGUUCCACAAAGAGACUCUGCCUCAGUGUUUUGCACCAGUUUUGUAGGGUAAAAUAAAUUUUUUCCAGUGGAAAAGUAAGAUAAUAGUUUUGGAAUUCUUUCUUCCACAAGAAGAUUUUGAAAGAAAGAAAACAAACUCAGAUACUUUCCUUCUAAGUUUUGCUAAUGGUGUUGUUUAGAAGGAAGGUAUUGAUACAGAAUUAAAAAUGAUGUAAAAUGAAAUACAAAAGAACAGGUGAUGCUAUUUAAUAAUGUUAACACAAUGUUUUAAAGAACCAGAAGAGACCAGAACUGAAAAAUUCUAGAUCAUUCCAUUGUAUUACAUACUUUGAAUUCAUUUAUCAUUUGAAGCAUUGAAGUCUAAGUGUGAAACUGGAAAACUAGAGAGAAAGAAGGAAGAAAGUGAAGCAUACAGUAAAAAAGCUAUUUUGAGAUGAAGAUGAUCUUGGGAGGAAUGUUUGAAAAAGAUGGACAAAGCGUUACAUCAGUUUCAAUGGGAAGGGGUACUCUCUUAUCUUGAAAUAUAUGGGUCUUUAAGAUAAGUUCAGGAAAAUUUUGAUAGUCUUAUUAAAUGUUAAUAUAUCCCAUUCAGAUAUCCAAGGUGAAAGUGCUUGAUAUAGUUUUAUUGGGUCAGGAAAGAUUUACUUUUCUUCUGUUUUGUGUGCAGGUUUUGUAAUCUCUAUUCAAAGUUUGUAGAACAGUUUGGUAGAGAUUUUGUGGAAUGCUUUUUUUUCAGCUAGAAGACCUUACUUUUUUUUCAUAGAAUCAUAGAAUCAUAGAAUCACCAAGGUUGGAAAAGACCUGAAAGCUCAUCCAGUCCAACCGUUCACCUAUUCCCAAUAGCUCCCACUAAACCAUGUCCCUCAACACAACAUCCAGUCUUUCCUUGAACACCCCCAGGCUCGGUGACUCCACCACCUCCCUGGGCAGUCCAUUCCAGUGCCUGACCACCCUUUAUGAAAAGCAAUACUUCCUCAUGUCCAGCCUGAAUCUCCCCUGCCGUAGCUUGAAGCCAUUCCCCCUGGUCCUAUCACUAAUGACAUGAGAGAAGAGGCCGACCCCCAGCUCACUACAACCUCCCUUCAGGAAGUUAUAGAGAGCAAUGAGGUCUCCCCUGAGCCUCCUCUUCUCCAGGCUGAACAUUCCCAGCUCCUUCAGCCUCUCCUCAUAUGGCCUGUGCUCCAGACCCCUCACCAGCUUUGUUGCCCUCCUUUGAACACGUUCCAGGGCCUCAAUAUCUUUCUUGCAGUGAGGGGCCCAAAACUGGACACAGCACUCGAGGUGCGGCCUCACCAGUGCUGAAUAUAGGGGAACAAUCACCUCUCUGCUCCUGCUUGCAACACUGUUUCUGAUGCAAGCCAGGAUGCCAUUGGCCUUCUUGGCCACCUGGGCACACUGUCGGCUCAUGUUCAGCCGAGCAUCAAUCAAUACCCCCAGGUCCAUUUCCUCUACACAGUCCUCCAGCCACACCGCCCCAAGCCUGUAGCGUCACCUGGGGUUGUUGUGGCCGAAGUGCAGGACCCGGCAUUUGGCCUUGUUGAAACUCAUCCCAUUGGCUUCAGCCCAACUCUCCAGCCUGUCCAGAUCCCUCUGUAGGGCCUCGCUACCCCCAGGCAGAUCCACACUUCCAGCCAAUUUGGUGUCAUCUGUGAAUUUACUGAGGGUGCACUCGAUGCCCUCAUCGAGGUCAUCAAUAAAGAUAUUGAAGAGGACAGGCCCCAGCACCGACCCCUGGGGAACACCACUCACAACCGGUCACCAGCUGGAUUUGACUCCAUUCACCACCAC